rnacentral:rRNA from 1 species
AGUGAACGCUGGCGGUAGGCCUAACACAUGCAAGUCGAACGGCAGCACAGUAAGAGCUUGCUCUUACGGGUGGCGAGUGGCGGACGGGUGAGGAAUACAUCGGAAUCUACUUUUUCGUGGGGGAUAACGUGGGGAAACUUACGCUAAUACCGCAUACGACCUACGGGUGAAAGCAGGGGAUCUUCGGACCUUGCGCGAUUGAAUGAGCCGAUGUCGGAUUAGCUAGUUGGCGGGGUAAAGGCCCACCAAGGCGACGAUCCGUAGCUGGUCUGAGAGGAUGAUCAGCCACACUGGAACUGAGACACGGUCCAGACUCCUACGGGAGGCAGCAGUGAGGAAUAUUGGACAAUGGGCGCAAGCCUGAUCCAGCCAUACCGCGUGGGUGAAGAAGGCCUUCGGGUUGUAAAGCCCUUUUGUUGGGAAAGAAAAGCAGCAGGUUAAUACCCCGCUGUUCUGACGGUACCCAAAGAAUAAGCACCGGCUAACUUCGUG